rnacentral:lncRNA from 1 species
GCAGGGCAGGGGAGCCCCCAAGUGGAGCCUAGUGUGUCCGGAACUGGUGGGUUCUUGGUCUCACUGACUUCAAGAAUGAAGCCGUGGACCCUCGCGGAUCCUGUGCACUUUAUUCUUCCCUACCAGCCUCAGAAGCCACGUGCUGAAGACAGUGAAGUUCUGUCUGGGAAGAAGCAUCGAUCCCUAAAUGACUGCAUGGAGCAGAGCAGAGAUGUCUGCUCACUAAGUUGGUUCGAAGCUGAGGAGGAAAAAAAUUAGGUGCUAGGAUGCUGGAGAGAUCCUCAGAAACCCCUCUACAUGAAUCAUUUAAGUAGAUGAAGAGCUAGAUUGCAAUAAUCAUUGGGAGGAGAAGAAGAAUAAAACAUGAGAUUCCAUUCACAUCCCAGAAUUAAAGGUACUGUCGUGAUGCCCAUUUUACAGAUGAAGAAACUGAGGUUUCCAGAGGUCCAGUCCCUGCCUGAGCUGAUGCAGUUACGAAGGCUGAAGCCCGGACUUGAUUUGAGUUCGGCCUGCGGAGCCCCGGCUGAGCUACCUGCCUUCUAGCCCCACGGUGGAAAGGGAGAAUCCAGACAUCCUUGAGACCUACCCAAGGAGUUUCCCUGUUACUGCCCUGCCAUCCUUCUGAUGCCACCCUGUUCCGUAUCUGGCUGGAGCCAGCGUGGUUGUGUCUGGGUUUGGCUCCAUAGUAGAUGUUCUCGGUGGCCUUACUAUUCCUGUGCACGCCGGCCACUUUUGCCUGAAGCUCUCUGUGGCUGCCAAUGCCCACUUUGUUGAAAGUACUUGGAAAUUAAGACCCUCUAGGGAGUAUCUCUGAGUUGUGCCUGGUGAGAUUUCAUGAAGGAAUGGCCCAGCUCCUGCAGACCUAGGCGGGAUGUCUGAGGUGCACCUUCUACACGCUCUUUCAGUUGGAUUAAGUCCUAGGAUGCCCACAGGGGUCACUGAG